GGGAGUGAAAUAGAACCUGAAACCCUGCACUUACAAGCUGUGGAAGCACAUUUCUUGUGUUACCGCGUACUUUUUGUAGAACGUGCCAACGAGUUACGUUAAGUAGCCAGGUUCAGCACUUAAGGUGCGGAGCCGUAGCGAAAGCGAGUUUUAACUGAGCGUUCAGUUACUUGACGUAGACCCGAAACCGUGCGACCUACCCAUGCGCAGGAAGAAGCGAAAGUAAAAUUUCGUGGAGGUCCGAACCCACGAGCG
rnacentral:rRNA from 1 species